UAGAUCAAUCACCAUUCCCAAGAUGAUAUAUUAUCAGAAGCAAUUUGAAAAUUAAUUAUACAUAUCUCAAAUUCUUAACUCUUUAGAAUAUGUAUCUUAAGUAUUAAUUUCUUGAAUGAUUCAAGGACGUAAUAACAAGAAUAGAUAAAAAUAUGCCCAUUUUAUUAAUUUUAAAAAAUCAAUUAUAAUUUUAUAUCCUAAAAAUUUUACAUUGUGCCAACC
rnacentral:lncRNA from 1 species